UUUUAAAUAUUGUUAUAAAUUUUACGUUUAUGCAUUAGUAAAAAUUAUCUUUUACAAAAACAAUCGAAGUUGACUCGUUUCAGAGAUAUUACGCUCAUCAAUUUUGACAAUAUGGUUUCGUGAAAAUUUUGUUUAAAGUUUUAUGAUGAUAAUUGUGUUAAAAAUCGGUCAGAUUUUUUAAAUUUAUCGUUAAUUAUCUAUAUCAGGUCCAUGCACAAUAAGCCUCACAGUAAAUCCUCUUUUCGUUCUGCAUAUUCGAAAAGUAUUCGAAUAAGAUCAUUGAAGAGUUAAUUUUACAUUUUAAAUAUUUUAAUAUUUUAUACUGAGACAUAUUUUUACAUGAAACAUGAAGUAUCUCAUAGAAUAUUUUUUUAUAUAAUCUGCUUAAAUAUUUUUCGCAGAAUAGGUGAAAAGAAUCGAUUGAUUGCGCCGAGGCCCGCCGAGUGCACAUGGAUACGCUUCUCGAUUGUUUGUGUGUAGCUCGCGGUUACAAAUGGCAUCACUGGUGGCGCUAGUGUCAGUAAAUUGCGUGCGCAAAGAACCUUUGCGCAUGUAAAUGCUUUUCAAGCGCCUAAAGGUUUGUUCGCGUCGCAUGUUCCAACAUGCUUCUACUCGCUCCGAUACGCUCCAAUCUAUAAUAUACGUAACGUAAUACUAUAGAUUUGAGCAUAUUGGAACGAGUAGGAGCAUGUUGGGGCAUGCAACAUGAACAAAUCUUAGGUUAUGUGUAGAUUGUAUUUUCUUUGACGUUUUCAGUGUUAGUUUCAGAGACAUCUGGUGGUGACAUUUUUGGCAUUUUUAGAUGUAUGGGUAAAGAUUGGAGUUAUGUCUCUAAUCUUUUUGCUGCUUGCUGUUUGCGUCUCAAAUCUGGCAUCACUGGCUCUGAUAGUACAAGAAGAACUGAGCUUUCAUUAAAAACUUUAAAACAGAAGAAUACAACCCAUUUUCAAGAACAGACUCACAUAACAAUAGAAUAUAAAUGUAUUUGUGUGUUAUCUAUAUUUUACCUAUAAACCGAUCUGAAUCUGUCGAAAGUUUUCAAACUCGUCUAAAUAAAGCCAUCUUGUAUUUGAA